rnacentral:lncRNA from 1 species
GGGGGCGCGAGGGAGGGAGGUGGAAGGAGGCACCCUCCCCAGAGGUUGCCAUAAUUCCGUCCCUUCCGACAGCCAAGGUCAGAUGACCCUGAUUGCAAAAGCUUCAUCUUGAAACAUUCAGUGGAGAACAAACGUGAUAAUGAGAAGAGAUGCGAGAACCACGCGAAGCCACAGCUCUGUGUGUCCCUUCCCUCGGGUCAUCCACAAACGGGAAACCAGCAGAGAACCCCUCGCCCCCCAGACCGUACGUCAUCCCAGCAUCUUCAAGAAGAGAAGCCAUUUCUCUGACCCAUUCAAACAACUGCCAGCACCUGAAGGGGACUCGGGGACUGGGGGCGUGGGGGGCCCUCUGGCCUCCUAACGGCCGCAGCUCUGCAGAAGGAAUGGGGCCAGCUGCCCUCUCAAGGCCCUUCCCUGCCAGGCAUGAAUGUCCUAGGAGUCCUUUACCACAGGCAGAGAUGGAAGUAACCUCCGCACGCAUGUUUCAAGGGCCUGGGGCCUCAGAAGCUGCGUCAGUUGGGGAAGCAGAGACAGAAUUAAAAGUGGGCAAGAUUUGUUGGGGAAAGGCUGGGAAGGCUCAGGUGGAGAGCAGGAGCGGGCAGACAGAGCCUCAGGCCACGGUGCAGGCCUGACAUCUGCAAAGGGGGAGGAGGAGAAGGAAGGGGGAGCUGAGUGAGACUGCAGUGAAGGCCUGGGGACCCCAGAGCAAGGUGUGACGCUAGAGAUGGGCUGAGUGGGGCAGAAAUGGCCGGCUCUGUUCCCUACUGCUUUGUGGUCGGUGGUUGCUGGGAACAGCCUGGGGAGAGUGUGGCUCAGCCUCGACACCGUGACAGGCUCCAAAGGAGAGGCAGGUGGAGGCUGAGCUCCCUACACCCUGCACAGCAGGGAGACCUGAGCAGCACGCUCCCAUCGCUGCUCAUUGGCAACACUUUUUAAAAAACACCUUUCUAGGGGCGCCUGGGUGGCGCAGUCGGUUGGGCGUCCGACUUCAGCCAGGUCACGAUCUCGCGGUCCGGGAGUUCGAGCCCCGCGUCAGGCUCUGGGCUGAUGGCUCAGAGCCUGGAGCCUGUUUCUGAUUCUGUGUCUCCCUCUCUCUCUGCCCCUCCCCCGUUCAUGCUCUGUCUCUCUCUGUCCCAAAAAUAAAUAAACGUUGAAAAAAUAAAUAAAUAAAAUA